UAGCCGUUUCGUUCCUAGUUGAGUUUCUCAACGGCAAAAUGACGAAGAUGAUUGCGUAGAUGACGUACGAUGAUGUCUGAAAAUGUUGAAAACGUAGCGUGUAUGUAUGUGUAUAUAUGUCUAUAUAUGUAUGUAUGCUUGAUCGUGUUGAUUUGGUCUCUGUCUCUCUCUAGUAAACUUCGUCGCGUUGCCAGGAGACCGAUAACCCUUGCGACAAAAGUUUUGAUCCUCCGUACCGUCGAUUAUUCGCAGACAGUUCUCCUCUCUCUUCUCUUUUUCUUUUCUUUUUUUUUGUUUAAUUUGUUUGUUAUUGUUGUUGUUAUUAAGUUCCUUUCCUUGAGUAGACGCGAAGCUCUGUCGCAUUGAUUCGAUUUUCCAAAAAGAAGAAAAAGGAAAGAAAAAAAAAAUAAAUAAAAAGGUUUUUACGAUUUACGAGGUUCACAAGGUUCCAUCUUCUAAUCGAAAAUUGAAGCGUACCAAUCAUCGUUGAUAAAUACGCAUAUGCGUUUUAUCCUUUAAAAUCAAUCAAAUUUAGGAAAUUUAUUUUCAUUUAAUUUCAGAGUUUCGUAAUGAUCGUUCGAUUAGCGGAUAAUUUGGGAUCAUUAAUUAUCGAAAAAUCGAUAGAAAAUCUCAAACGUGUCUAAAUAUGAACGAUUAUAAACUCGCGCGCGGAAUAGAGAGAGAUAGGGAUAGAGAAGCAGAAAGGGAGAGAGAGAGAGAGAGAGAUUUCGAUAAACAGAAACGCUCGAAUGGAUGGUUGAAAAUUCUCUAUCGUGUAUGCCGACAUAAAUUGCCGUAAUUACCAGUUCUCUACGCGUUCUAACGUGUGUAUAUACUCAUACAUCUAUACGAUACAUUUACGUUUAUAAACACAUAUACGUAACAUAUACCCAAGCGAUAUUGUUUUCCGAUGCAGUAAAUAACUAACAAACGACGAUACGGUUGGCGGGCUCGUGCAGUGACUCUAAUUACUCGAAAUACGAAAGAUAAAAUGCUUUAAAUUUAUACCAAACCCCAUUGUAUGUGUUUCACGGUGUUACUUUAAAAUUCAUUGAGAGAAAAGUCUGCUGCCAUCGUAACGGACAAUAUGAUUGUCAGACUUAAAAGAAUAUUCGUUAAAUAAUAGAAAAUAUAGAAAUGUUGAUUUGUAAAUGUACCAACUAAUUUUUUUUAAUUGUUAUCCAAUUACUUAUCUUCAUAUCUUUAUAUACGGAUAUCUGUUAUUUCAAAUUAUUUUCCAUCUUAAUAAAACAUUAAGUGGAAUCAUUCGCACGUACAAUGAUCUUUUCCAUGGAAAUUUCAUGGAAAAUUAUUUAUAAGAAAAAAAUUGAUCUGUUUAUACACACACACACACAUAUAUAUAUAUUAUCAUUGGAAUAGUAUUUUAUUUCUUGUACAGAGAGAAAAUCAAUAAAAAACAAUCUGUAAGUUCGAAGUGGACCAACCUAAUGAGAGAAAAGAAAUAAUAUUACCACGAUGAUAUGAACAUAUGUAUAUUAUAUGAGCGCGUGCACGUGUGAGAUUGUCGUAAGAUUGUGUCACAAAGAAAACAGCGACCGCAAAACAGAGCCAAAACAAAAAUAUUCUAACAUAUCGUUACGACAACGACGACACGACGACGAACGCGGAGCAACUCGAUAAUACGUUCAAGGCUGCCUACUCGCAAAUAUGUCACUAUAGAUACACGGAAUACAAGUUUACGCGCGCAAAUAUAUGUGUGCAACGUAAGCCCUAACAUGUGCAUUACACACCUAAGCGAAAUAAUGCAAUUAAAUUUACAAGAGACGUGUAUCGAAGUUGAAAUUAUGGCAAAAAAAAAGAAAAAAGAAUUAUUUUUUGUAAUGCAAUCAUCUUUAUCACCAGUUAGGAAUAUGUGAGUUAACUCAUGAUGUAUCGAUUGUCAAGAAAUUAGAUCAGAAAACGAUCGACGAUUUUUCGCCUAAUUGUUUCCUUGGAUUAUUAUAUUUCUAUGAUUCUUUCGUCACAAAAGAAAUAAACGAAAAAAUAUCAUAACUUUUUAAUCAUUGUCUUGUUAUACCGAUAAACCUAAUAUGAUGAAAAUAAAUAUAUAAAACUAA